UAUACCGGGUGGCGCAAAAAAAAGUACAACUGUUUGAUUACUUGUAACUCAGAAACAAUAAGCAGCAGAACCAUAAAUCGAGUUUAAUUGCAUCCAGCGAUAUCUAACUUAAAUUUUGGUAUAUUUGACAGGCAUAUUCGUCCAAGAUUAACUGAGAUAUAAGAGUUUAAACUUUUGUUAACAAUUUUGAAACGGUCACAAAUUAGCUAAAAAUCAGUUUAAUAGGCCGUUUUUAGCUAAUUUGUGACCGUUUCAAAUUUGCUAACAAAAGUUUAAACACUCAUAUCUCAGUCAAUCUUGGACGAAAAUACCUGUCGAA